GACGAACGCUGGCGGCGUGCCUAAUACAUGCAAGUCGAGCGAAGCGGCGGUUGGGUGAGAAACGCGUGGGAAACCUGCCCUUAAGUCUGGGAUACCAAUUGAAAACAGAUGCUAAUACAGGAUAAUAAAGGAUAGACCUGCGUUGCAUUAGCGCGUUGGUAAGGUAACGGCGUACCAAGGCGAUGAUGCCUAGCCGGGUUGAGAGGCUGAUCGGCCACAUUGGGACUGAGAAACGGCCCAAACUCCUACGGGAGGCAGCAGUAGGGAAUCUUCCACAAUGGACGAAAGUCUGAUGGAGCAACGCCGCGUGAGUGAAGAAGGUUUUCGGAUCGUAAAGCUCUGUUGUUGGUGAAGCGGUAAUCAACCAGAAAGUCACGGCUAACUACGUGCCAGCAGCCGCGGUAAUAC
rnacentral:rRNA from 1 species